UACGGGGGGGGCAAGCGUUGUUCGGAAUUACUGGGCGUAAAGCGUGUGUAGGCGGCUAUGUAAGUCGGAUGUGAAAGCCCCGGGCUCAACUCGGGAAGUGCACUCGAUACUGCGUAGCUAGAGUACCGGAGAGGUUGGUGGAAUUCUCGGUGUAGAGGUGAAAUUCGUAGAUAUCGAGAGGAACACCGGUGGCGAAGGCGGCCAACUGGACGAGUACUGACGCUGAGACACGAAAGCGUGGGGAGCAAACAGG
rnacentral:rRNA from 1 species